UACGGGGGGAGCAAGCGUUGUUCGGAUUUACUGGGCGUAAAGGGCGCGUAGGCGGCCAGCACAAGUCAGUUGUGAAAUCUCCGGGCUUAACUCGGAAAGGUCAACUGAUACUGUGCGGCUAGAGUGCAGAAGGGGCAACUGGAAUUCUCGGUGUAGCGGUGAAAUGCGUAGAUAUCGAGAGGAACACCUGCGGCGAAGGCGGGUUGCUGGGCUGACACUGACGCUGAUGCGCGAAAGCCAGGGGAGCAAACGGG
rnacentral:rRNA from 1 species